rnacentral:tRNA from 1 species
GGGCCAGUAGCUCAGCUUGGAUAGAGCGUCUGCCUUCUAAGCAGAAGGUCGGGAGUUCAAAUCUUCCCUGGCCCG